ACAGAGGGCGCUAUGUCGGCAGGUGUGGCGUUCGUUCGGGGCAGAUGCGUCGGCGGUGACGUUGAAUUUGCUCCAGUUACUGAGACAGAGAGUGGCGGGAACAAGGGUACUUGGGAUGUUAAAAAGCAAACUCUCCUAAUGACCCCCGGGAUCUAUCAAGAGGACCCGUUCUCCCCAGAACCAACAGAAUGACACACUAAUCAUGUUAGUUACCAGAAAGUACAGUAUUAACAAAGCACGUCACUAGUGCAACCUGCGUCAUGAGGUCCCCACGGCAACCAGUGACGCUCCAACGUUAAUUUCAAGCCCGAGGUAUGUGGUAAUCUGGUGGUCAUACCAAUGUAUCGCUGGACAUCCCAAUGACCCCCUUCAAUGGUGGAAGACACUGUGAUAUGUGUAAUUAUUGGAAGAAACAAGUGUUUCGAGACAGCCGUUACAAACAAUGAAACUAACGCAGUCCAUCAUUUGAGGGGGCUAUAGCUGGAAUGUUUAUAGUGGCAA
rnacentral:lncRNA from 1 species